UUGCACAAACUCACGAUCCCAAGGGUAAGCCUGAUUGCUAUGGUGUCUUCUGCCUUACCUAUGAUUUCAAGGCUAUGAGUAUUCUUCUUCACUACCUUUAUCUAUUUAUUACAUGUAUAUAUGGUGUUUGUCAAUAAGUGCAUGCUGAUGCAUAAUUUCCUUUAUGUAAUGUGUAUAGGCAAAGUUUAUCCACAGUUUAAUUGUAAAAAUCUUUUGGAUCCUGUGUGGUAGCCCAUAUUUGGUGAAGCACACACGAUCUAUUGUCUUUAAUGGCCAUGCAAUUUAUCUCCACAGAGUUGAUUUCUUAUCUCAGCUUGCAUUCGGUAAUGGCAAAUUUUUGAAGAACUACAAGUAAGCGUUCAAUCUUAAUUUUCGUUUCUAUCGUUGUGGGGGUAUGCCAUGACAGAUCCUUGCCAUCAAUCUUCUAUUCUGAUACUGUCAGGAUUACAAACCUAUCCUAUAAUAAAUGUAUUUAAGUCGUCAUGAUUUCCUCAUCACAAAACUCACAUUGUAGAAUCUAUUUGGAUCAACAUCUGUGUAUGCCUACAUUGAAGGCAUUUUCAGUUCUGUUGUUGGAACUACAACAUCUGUGUAUGCUUACAUUUUAGGUACAAUAUUCGACUUUAUUUCUUGCAUGGAGAAAUACCUUGAACUUUUAUGCUUCUUAUCUAAUAAAUUUUUUUUGGCAUCUCACUUUCACGCAAAUUCGGUGCCUUUUUUGCAUCGAUCCCCUACCGAUAAUUGGUGCUAUAUACUGUGUUUUAUUUGGCAUUGUUGGUAAGUGUAGGCCAAACACAUAUAAUUUUUAGUUUUAAUAUUUAUGUCGAGAGAGAGUACUUGCAUAUAUGAAAAUAUAAUCCAAUGAUUUUAUCUUUAUAGGUUACUAACAGGAUCAAUCAUGGCUCAUGAAAUGAUGCAUAACCUGGUUUUAUGUUUGGUCUGUAGGUAUCCUAUAUGCAGAAUCCCAAUGGUCAAACAUUAAGAUAGUAGGAUUGGUUAUGUAACUUUGAUGGGGUGACUGAUAAUUGUAACUUGCUGGGCUGGUCUUGAUUUUAUUGUAUUGAGUUGGUUCUGCAUUAGUUUGGACACAUGUGCACACUAUUGUAUCUAAUGUUGGAGUUGAAGGUGUUGUUGUUGCUGGAAAACUUUAGGAACAGAAUAAUUCUAAUCUUGGUUAUGAUGCCAACAAAGCUUUGUAAUUAGGUGAAUAUGUAGAUAUGGUUAAGUCUAAAAUUAUUGAUCCAUUGAAGGUGGUUAGGACCUUCUUGGUUGACAUAACCAGUGUAUCGUCUUUGAUGAUAACAACCGAAGUUAUUGUUUCUGAACUCCCAAAAGAAGAUAAAGACAGUCCUACAAUGCCUGACAACAUGGGUGGUAUGGAUUAUUAGCUGCUAUGAAGACUUGAAUUAAAGUGGUGUUUCGCCACUAUUAUAGCCUCUCUUUUUAUAUUUGACAUAAGGCAUUCAUGUAAUCAUAAUGAGAGAUGAAAGUUGUAGGUGGGAAGAUUUGUGAUUGUUAUUGUAUAUGAUAUGAUUGAGAUAUUCAGAAUAAUUUGCAUUCCAAAAUAGUUAGGAAUUAUUCCCUUCAUAAGUUGUCAAAUGAAA